AGCAGCCGCGGUAAUUCCAGCUCCAAUAGCGUAUAUUAAAGUUGUUGCAGUUAAAAAGCUCGUAGUUGAAUUUCGGGAUUGACACAUCGGUCGUGCCUUAAGGGGUAUGAACUGGUGUAGUCAAUUUCUCACCUUCUGGAGAACCGCGAUGCCCUUAAUUGGGUGUCACGGGGAACCAGGACCUUUACUUUGAAAAAUUAGAGUGUUUAAAGCAGGCAUUUUGCUUGAAUACAUUAGCAUGGAAUAAUAAAAUAGGACGGCAUGAUUCUAUUUUGUUGGUUUCUAGGAUCACCGUAAUGAUUAAUAGGGAUAGUUGGGGGCAUUAGUAUUCAAUUGUCAGAGGUGAAAUUCUUGGAUUUAUUGAAGACUAACUACUGCGAAAGCAUUUGCCAAGGAUGUUUUCAUUAAUCAAGAACGAAAGUUAGGGGAUCGAAGACGAUCAGAUACCGUCGUAGUCUUAACCAUAAACUAUGCCGACUAGGAAUCAGACGAUGUUAAUUUUUAAUGACUCGUUUGCACC
rnacentral:rRNA from 1 species